rnacentral:rRNA from 1 species
GUUUGACCUCAAAUCAGGUAGGAGUACCCGCUGAACUU